GAGGAAUUCCCGAGUGGCCAAAGGGGCAGACUGUAAAUCUGUUACGUUUCGUUUCGAUGGUUCGAAUCCAUCUUCCUCCACCA
rnacentral:tRNA from 1 species